rnacentral:antisense_RNA from 1 species
CGAGGUACGACAUUGCUCACAUUGCUUCCAGAAUGACUUAGCCAGCUCGGGUGCUGGCUUUUUUUU